CGGAGCUGCCAAGGACUGGCUCUCUGGCUGUGCUCCGCAGGGUCGAGCAGGCUGCGCGGGGCUGGAAGGUGAUCAGUAAGAGUGGAAAGUGCUGCGGCGUCAGCGGCUGCCGAGCUCCGUGCCAGGCGGCAUCUGGGCCAACAAGUUACAGAUGCUACUAUGAUCCCAUCCUGAACUCUAUGGGCAGAUAGUCCCACCAAUGCACCCUGAACAUCACCUCUCCGAAAACCUACACCACCAUUGAAAGAUGAAUACAGAAAAGGAAGAAAAUGAGAGACAGUGGAAGAGACCACAACACCAAAGUUCCCUUCAGUGCUGUGGAGACCUGAAAUCUGAAUCACACAUGGCAAAGCAGCACACUAUCUAACCACCAGGUUCCAGAUGCUACUAUGAUGUCAACCGGACUUGGGACAGAUGACCCCACCAAUGUGUCCUGAAGCCCGGCUUCCCCAGAGCACCACCCCACUAGGGAAAUAAAGAGACAGGCUGGGAGUAUGGAUUGACCUGUCAAACGCCCAUGUUCAGCUGGGAAGCACUUACAGAAGCCAGACCUUCCACCUUCUGCAUCCUAUAAUGACCCUGGACCAUGCUCUCAGAAGGAUAAAGAAUAGGAAAGCUAUCAGGGGAGGGGAUGGGAUAUGGAGUCCUCUUGGUGGGGAUUUUGUGGAGUUGUAUCCCUCUCAUCCUAUGGUUUUUGUCAGUGUUUCCUUUUAUAAAUAAAAAUAAAUUAAAAAAAAGACUUCCAGGAGGCAUGGUUUAUGGAGUAGCUGCAAUCGGACCUUUGCUCUCCCAGAUACAUCUAUUAAACAUAACAAGAGACCGAAUUGGACACAUAAUCUACAGCUGAAAAAAAAUCCAAAGCCUCAAGUGGGUGCCGGUGCAUGUGGGCUGGAAGACAGCCUUGGUCAAAAUGAGAGCUCUGGGCUGAUGUCGCUCAGCACUGACUGGCACCAUCUUGGGCAGUAAUGCA